UACGGAGGGGGCUAGCGUUGUUCGGAAUUACUGGGCGUAAAGCGCACGUAGGCGGCUUUGUAAGUUAGAGGUGAAAGCCCAGGGCUUAACCCUGGAAUUGCCUUUAAGACUGCAUCGCUAGAAUCGUGGAGAGGUGAGUGGAAUUCCGAGUGUAGAGGUGAAAUUCGUAGAUAUUCGGAAGAACACCAGUGGCGAAGGCGACUCACUGGACAUGUAUUGACGCUGAGGUGCGAAAGCGUGGGGAGCAAACAGG
rnacentral:rRNA from 1 species